rnacentral:rRNA from 1 species
UACGGAGGGUGCAAGCGUUAUCCGGAUUCACUGGGCUUAAAGGGUGCGUAGGUGGAUUGGUAAGUCAGUGGUGAAAUCUCCGGGCUUAACCCGGAAACUGCCAUUGAUACUAUCAGUCUUGAAUACCGUGGAGGUCAGUAGAAUAUGUCAUGUAGCGGUGAAAUGCUUAGAUAUGACAUAGAACACCUAGUGCGAAGGCAGCUUACUACGCAGAUAUUGACGCUCAUGCACGAAAGCGUGGGGAUCAAACAGG